rnacentral:tRNA from 1 species
GGGCAUAUGGCGAAACUGGUAGACGCACUGGAUUUAGGUUCCAGUGGAGAAAUCCAUGGGGGUUCAAGUCCCUUUAUGCCCACCA